GAUCACAGGGUUAGCAAUAACUCCGUGGUUCUAGUGGCGCACGGGUGAGUAACACGUGGGUAACCUGCCCUUGAGACUGGGAUACCCCCUCGAAAGGGGGGCUAAUACCGGAUACGUUCCUCGGAUCGAAAGGUCUGAGGAGGAAAGGUGGCGAAAGCUGCCGCUCUUGGAGGGGCUCGCGGCCUAUCAGCUAGUUGGCGGGGUAACGGCCCACCAAGGCUAUGACGGGUAGCUGGUCUGAGAGGACGACCAGCCACACGGGGACUGAGACACGGCCCCGACUCCUACGGGAGGCAGCAGUGGGGAAUUUUCCGCAAUGGGCGAAAGCCUGACGGAGUGACGCCGCGUGUGGGACGAAGGCCUUCGGG
rnacentral:rRNA from 1 species